rnacentral:rRNA from 1 species
GAUGAACGCUGGCGGCGUGCCUAAUACAUGCAAGUCGAGCGAACGGACGAGAAGCUUGCUUCUCUGAUGUUAGCGGCGGACGGGUGAGUAACACGUGGAUAACCUACCUAUAAGACUGGGAUAACUUCGGGAAACCGGAGCUAAUACCGGAUAAUAUUUUGAACCGCAUGGUUCAAAAGUAAAAGACGGUCUUGCUGUCACUUAUAGAUGGAUCCGCGCUGCAUUAGCUAGUUGGUAAGGUAACGGCUUACCAAGGCAACGAUGCAUAGCCGACCUGAGAGGGUGAUCGGCCACACUGGAACUGAGACACGGUCCAGACUCCUACGGGAGGCAGCAGUAGGGAAUCUUCCGCAAUGGGCGAAAGCCUGACGGAGCAACGCCGCGUGAGUGAUGAAGGUCUUCGGAUCGUAAAACUCUGUUAUUAGGGAAGAACAUAUAUGUAAGUAACUGUGCACAUCUUGACGGUACCUAAUCAGAAAGCCACGGCUAACUACGUG